UACGUAGGGGGCAAGCGUUGUCCGGAAUCAUUGGGCGUAAAGAGCGUGUAGGCGGCCCGGUAAGUCCGCUGUGAAAGUCCAGGGCUCAACCCUGGGAUGCCGGUGGAUACUGUCGGGCUCGAGUCCGGAAGAGGAGUGUGGAAUUCCUGGUGCAGCGGUGAAAUGCGCAGAUAUCAGGAGGAACACCAAUGGCGAAGGCAGCACUCUGGGACGUGACUGACGCUGAGGAGCGAAAGCGUGGGGAGCGAACAGG
rnacentral:rRNA from 1 species